rfam:Rattus norvegicus chromosome 5, whole genome shotgun sequence.
UAGGGAGGUCAGGGCCAGGAGCCCCCCCCCUGAGCCCAGGGUAACGCUUAAGUUGGGGGGCA